rnacentral:rRNA from 1 species
GAUGAACGCUGGCGGCGUGCCUAAUACAUGCAAGUCGAGCGAACGGACGAUAAUCUUGCUUCUCUGAUGUUUGCGGCGGACGUGUGAGUAACACGUGGAUCACCUACCUAUAUUACUGGUAUAACUUCGGAAAACCGGCUCUUAUCCCGUAUAAUCUUUUGAACCGCAUUGUUCAAAAGUGAAAGUCGGUCUUGCUGUCACUUCUCGAUGGAUCUGCGCUGCAUUAGCUAGUUGUUAAGGUACCGGCUUACCAAGGCAACGAUGCAUAGCCGACAUGAGAGGGUGAUCGGCGAAACUGGAACUGAGACAGGGUCAAGAGGACUAAGGGAGGCAGCAGUAGGGAAUCUUACGCAAUGGGAGAGAGCCUGACGGAGCAGCGCCGCGUGAGUGAUGAAGGUCUUCGGAGCGUAAAAAUCUGUUAUGAGGGAAGAACAGAUGUGUAAGUAACUGUGCACAGCUUGACGGUAACUAAUCAGAAAGCCACGGCUAACUACGUG